GAAUCUACCACAGCAGCACAACCGACAACAUCAGUGACAACUGAGGAACCUACCACAGCAGCACCACCUACAACCUUAGUGACAACUGAAGAACCUACCACAUCAGUACAGCCGACAACAUUAGUGACAACUGAAGAAUCUACCACAGCGGCACAACCGACAACGUCAGUGACAACUGAGGAACCUACCACGGCGGCACCACCUACGACAUCAGUGACAACUGAGG